rnacentral:rRNA from 1 species
GAUGAACGCUGGCGGCGUGCCUAAUACAUGCAAGUCGAGCGAACAGACGAGGAGCUUGCUCCUCUGACGUUAGCGGCGGACGGGUGAGUAACACGUGGAUAACCUACCUAUAAGACUGGGAUAACUUCGGGAAACCGGCGCUAAUCCCGGAUAAUAUAUUGAACCGCAUGGUUCAAUAGUGAAAUACGGCUUUGCUGGCACUUAUAGAUGGAUCCGCGCCGCAUUAGCUAGUUGGUAAGGUAACGGCUUACCAAGGCAACGAUGCGUAGCCGACCGGCGAGGGUGAUCGGCCACACUGGAACUGAGACACGGUCCAUACUCCUACGGGAGGCAGCAGUAGGGAAUCUUCCGCAAUGGGCGAAAGCCUGACGGAGCAACGCCGCGUGAGUGAUGAAGGUCUUCGGAUCGUAAAACUCUGUUAUUAGGGAAGAACAAAUGUGUAAGUAACUAUGCACGUCUUGACGGUACCUAAUCAGAAAGCCACGGCUAACUACGUG